rnacentral:rRNA from 1 species
UACGAAGGGGGCAAGCGUUGUUCGGAAUUACUGGGCGUAAAGCGCGCGCAGGCGGAUUGAUAAGUCAGGGGUGAAAUCCCGGGGCUUAACCUCGGAAUUGCCUCUGAUACUGUCUGUCUUGAGUCCGGGAGAGGUGAGUGGAAUUCCUAGUGUAGAGGUGAAAUUCGUAGAUAUUAGGAAGAACACCAGUCGCGAAGGCGGCUCCCUGGUCCAGUACUGACGCUCAUGUGCGAAAGCGUGGGGAGCAAACAGG